rnacentral:tRNA from 1 species
UCCUCCUUAGCUCAGUUGGUAGAGCGACGGACUGUUAAUCCGCAGGUCACUGGUUCAAGUCCAGUAGGGGGAGCCA